rnacentral:rRNA from 1 species
CAUAGGUUAAUGAGGCGAACCGGGGGAACUGAAACAUCUAAGUACCCCGAGGAAAAGAAAUCAACCGAGAUUCCCCCAGUAGCGGCGAGCGAACGGGGAGGAGCCCAGAGCCUGAAUCAGUGUGUGUGUUAGUGGAAGCGUCUGGAAAGGCGCGCGAUACAGGGUGACAGCCCCGUACACAAAAAUGCACAUGCUGUGAGCUCGAUGAGUAGGGCGGGACACGUGGUAUCCUGUCUGAAUAUGGGGGGACCAUCCUCCAAGGCUAAAUACUCCUGACUGACCGAUAGUGAACCAGUACCGUGAGGGAAAGGCGAAAAGAACCCCGGCGAGGGGAGUGAAAAAGAACCUGAAACCGUGUACGUACAAGCAGUGGGAGCACGCUUAGGCGUGUGACUGCGUACCUUUUGUAUAAUGGGUCAGCGACUUAUAUUCUGUAGCAAGGUUAACCGAAUAGGGGAGCCGAAGGGAAACCGAGUCUUAACUGGGCGUUAAGUUGCAGGGUAUAGACCCGAAACCCGGUGAUCUAGCCAUGGGCAGGUUGAAGGUUGGGUAACACUAACUGGAGGACCGAACCGACUAAUGUUGAAAAAUUAGCGGAUGACUUGUGGCUGGGGGUGAAAGGCCAAUCAAACCGGGAGAUAGCUGGUUCUCCCCGAAAGCUAUUUAGGUAGCGCCUCGUGAAUUCAUCUCCGGGGGUAGAGCACUGUUUCGGCAAGGGGGUCAUCCCGACUUACCAACCCGAUGCAAACUGCGAAUACCGGAGAAUGUUAUCACGGGAGACACACGGCGGGUGCUAACGUCCGUCGUGAAGAGGGAAACAACCCAGACCGCCAGCUAAGGUCCCAAAGUCAUGGUUAAGUGGGAAACGAUGUGGGAAGGCCCAGACAGCCAGGAUGUUGGCUUAGAAGCAGCCAUCAUUUAAAGAAAGCGUAAUAGCUCACUGGUCGAGUCGGCCUGCGCGGAAGAUGUAACGGGGCUAAACCAUGCACCGAAGCUGCGGCAGCGACACUAUGUGUUGUUGGGUAGGGGAGCGUUCUGUAAGCCUGUGAAGGUGUGCUGUGAGGCAUGCUGGAGGUAUCAGAAGUGCGAAUGCUGACAUAAGUAACGAUAAAGCGGGUGAAAAGCCCGCUCGCCGGAAGACCAAGGGUUCCUGUCCAACGUUAAUCGGGGCAGGGUGAGUCGACCCCUAAGGCGAGGCCGAAAGGCGUAGUCGAUGGGAAACAGGUUAAUAUUCCUGUACUUGGUGUUACUGCGAAGGGGGGACGGAGAAGGCUAUGUUGGCCGGGCGACGGUUGUCCCGGUUUAAGCGUGUAGGCUGGUUUUCCAGGCAAAUCCGGAAAAUCAAGGCUGAGGCGUGAUGACGAGGCACUACGGUGCUGAAGCAACAAAUGCCCUGCUUCCAGGAAAAGCCUCUAAGCAUCAGGUAACAUCAAAUCGUACCCCAAACCGACACAGGUGGUCAGGUAGAGAAUACCAAGGCGCUUGAGAGAACUCGGGUGAAGGAACUAGGCAAAAUGGUGCCGUAACUUCGGGAGAAGGCACGCUGAUAUGUAGGUGAAGUCCCUCGCGGAUGGAGCUGAAAUCAGUCGAAGA